AGAGUUUGAUCACUGGCUCAGGACGAACGCUGGCGGCGUGCUUAAUACAUGCAAGUCGAGCGGUCCCACGUCAGUGGGACAGCGGCGGACGGGUGAGGAACACGUGAGUAACCGGGCACGGAGUGGGGGAUAUCGGGCCGAAAGGCGCGGCAAUCCCGCAUAGCGUCCCCGGCGUGCCAACGCCGGGGGGAAAGGGAUCUUCGGAUCUCGCUCCGUGGGGGGCUCGCGGCCCAUUAGCUAGUUGGGGGGGUAAUGGCCUCCCAAGGCGACGAUGGGUAGCCGGCCUGAGAGGGUGAUCGGCCACACUGGGACUGAGACACGGCCCAGACUCCUACGGGAGGCAGCAGUAGGGAAUCUUCCACAAUGGGCGCAAGCCUGGUGGAGCAACGCCGCGUGAGUGAAGACGGCCUUCGGGUUGUAAAGCUCUGUCGGUUGGGACGAGGGCCCCGGAAUCUCCGGGGCGGGACGGUACCGAUCAAUGAAGCCCCUGCUAACUACGUGCCAGCAGCCGCGGUAAGACGUAGGGGGCAAGCGUUGUCCGGAAUUACUGGGCGUAAAGGGCGUGUAGGCGGUGCGGUACGUAGCGGUUUUAAGCCUCCGGCUCACCCGGAGGAGGGCGGCUAAACGGCAGCACUGGAGGGCAGGAGAGGUGCGCGGAAUUCCUGGUGGAGCGGUGAAAUGCGUAGAGAUCAGGAAGAACACCGGUGGCGAAGGCGGCGCACUGGCCUGGCCCUGACGCUGAGGCGCGACAGCGUGGGAGCAAACGGGAUUAGAUACCCCGGUAGUCCACGCCGUAAACGAUGGAUACUAGGUGUCGCGGGGGCCCACCUCGCGGUGCCGGAGCUAACGCACUAAGUAUCCCGCCUGGGGAGUACGGCCGCAAGGUUGAAACUCAAAGGAAUUGACGGGGGCCCGCACAAGCAGUGGAGCAUGUGGUUUAAUUCGACGCAACGCGCAGAACCUUACCAGGACUAGACGGGAUCGUGAGCGCCGCGAAAGCGGCGGGCCCUUCGGGGAGCGAUCGUCAGGUGCUGCAU
rnacentral:rRNA from 1 species